GUAUAUUUGUGUAUUGACAGUACUACUUAAAGGAACACGCCGACUUAUUGGGACUUUAGCUUAUUCACAGUAACCCCCAGAGUUAGAUAAGUCCAUACAUACCCUUCUCAUCUCUGCGCGUGGUGUAACUCUGUCUGAGGCACCCAGCGCUAGCUUAGCCUAGCACGGAUCCUGGAGGUAACCUGCUCCAUCUAGCCUACUGCUCCCAAUAAGUGACAACAUAAUGCCAACAUGUUACUAUUUCCAUGUUGUGAUUUGUAUAGUCACAGCGUGUACAAAUA